rnacentral:rRNA from 1 species
UACGUAGGCAGCAAGCGUUGUUCGGAGUUACUGGGUGUAAAGGGUGCGUAGGCGGCUUCUUAAGUCUGGUGUGAAAUCUCCCGGCUCAACUGGGAGGGUGCGCCGGAUACUGAGGGGCUAGAGUGUGGGAGAGGAAAGUGGAAUUCCUGGUGUAGCGGUGAAAUGCGUAGAUAUCAGGAGGAACACCGGUGGUGUAAACGGCUUUCUGGACCAUAACUGACGCUGAGGCACGAAAGCGUGGGGAGCAAAAGGG